rnacentral:rRNA from 1 species
CCUACGGGAGGCAGCAGUGAGGAAUAUUGGUCAAUGGGCGAGAGUCUGAACCAGCCAAGUAGCGUGAAGGAUGACUGCCCUAUGGGUUGUAAACUUCUUUUAUAUGGGAAUAAAAUGUUCCACGUGUGGGAUUUUGUAUGUACCAUAUGAAUAAGGAUCGGCUAACUCCGUGCCAGCAGCCGCGGUAAUACGGAGGAUCCGAGCGUUAUCCGGAUUUAUUGGGUUUAAAGGGAGCGUAGGUGGAUUGUUAAGUCAGUUGUGAAAGUUUGCGGCUCAACCGUAAAAUUGCAGUUGAAACUGGCAGUCUUGAGUACAGUAGAGGUGGGCGGAAUUCGUGGUGUAGCGGUGAAAUGCUUAGAUAUCACGAAGAACUCCGAGUGCGAAGGCAGUUCACUGGACUGCAACUGACACUGAGGCUCGAAAGUGUGGGUAUCAAACAGGAUUAGAUACCCCAGUAGUC